UUUUUUAAAUAAAAUUAUUCACGACAUAUGAGUGGGCAGACAAUGGAGGUCGACAGACCUGGUGAUAAUUGCUUCUAUAGAAAGUUAGCACAUGGCAGUGUCAAUCUCUUGCUUUUCUUCUGAGUAGUAUUUUAUUUAGUUGUAAUACAAUCAAUAAUUUGCUUCUUGAAAUUAAGUAAUGAAUUUCUUGUUUUACUGUAUAAAUUUCAGAUCCUGCCUUUACCUGCUCCCUCCUAUACUGAUGUGGUGUAUGUGGUACUGCUGAGCUUGUAUGUGAUCUGAACCAUUGUAAAAGUUGCAGUUCAAGGGCCUGAGGUGGAAGCAGAAUUUGUGAGGAUUACUACUGCUCCACUUGUUCCAAGGCUUUUUGCACAACUUGACCAAUACACUGACCAGCUCAUAAAAGUCUUCAAGAAAAAAGGAGGCGCUGCAGUGAAGAAAAUUAGACAAAUUUUGGCCCCAGCCACAAAUGUGCGUUAUUCUGUUGGUAGCAAAAUAUUAUGGCUAAUAAGAUCACUUUCAAAUUUAAACAGCUAGUGUAUGGUAGCUGCACAGUGUACUUACAUUUAUAUUAAGCAAGACAAAGUUUGGUACUCAAAACUUUGGAAAAUUAAAAUUACCUAAACAUAAGUAAAAUCUGAUCCCUCAAUUUCGGGUUAAACCAUAAGUGAAUGUUUUUAUGUUAAAGAUCAGUUUCUGAAUGCAAAAAAGAUGAUGUAUUAGUUUGUCUUUACCUCCAUUAUGGACAUAUAUAAUGUGGUGGAAACCCUGCCCAACAGGUUAACUAUUCAUGUCCAUGUGAUGAUUAGUUGGUCUUGUGUACAUGUCUGUCUCUGCAGUGAAUAUGUCAUUCAUUUUGCGUAUAAUGUGAGUUUGUGUCAUCCUAAAGUAUUUCUGUUUUCUCUUCCUGUAUCUCUGCCACUCUCUACAGAAGGAAACUAUUGAAAAGGGGAGGGAGUGUGUCCUCAGGGCACUACUUUUUUACCUGAAUGAAGACCCAAGCAUCCUCUUCAAAGAAUAAUUGGUUGGUAAUUUUAGUUUAGUUUUUUAUCUGUAUUAAACCAAAUUUUGAAUAACUAAUGUUGUUGCAUGUUGUAGUGUUGUUGUUGUUGUAAUUUGCAUGGAACCUGUUUAAAUGUUUUGGGGAAUCUUCUUGUAUACCCAAACUAUUUAUAUUUAUUGUUGAAUCUGUAGUCUAAAAUAGUGGCGCACUGGGGUGCAUGUUCCUAAUAUUGUGUUUACUUCAUUAAAGGGUAGCUUUGGCUCUUUUUUUUUUUUUCUUUUCUUUUUUUUAAUUUAACUGGACGCCAUUUUUCUUUGUUUUUGUGUCUAAGCUACAGCUACAGCUGUUCAGAGGGAGCUGGAACAAAUUACCCUUGCUAUCUUCACCAUCGAAAAAGCUGAUGCCAGCACUCCUCCAGCCGAUGUGGGUAUAACCAUCUAGGGUGUUCUGCAUGACCUGGAAAACAUGGCCUCUGCAUGUGCACUCUUAAUGGGUGGGAUAUAUGCACUGAAUCUCAGUUAACCUCAAGACUGAAAGCUUUCUUUGAAGUACUUCAGAAGCUCUUCCUUCAUCUGUAUGUCAGCAGACUCUUGACCAAGGUACAGAUGCUCAAGAAUAAACUGAAUGAAUAUGCCAACCAUUAAUUUGGAUGAUGAAUGUUCUGUCAGAUGGACAGAAGUUUUUCAGAGGCUGAAUGGGAAUAAAACGGUAAUUUGUUGAAAAUGACAGAUAAAGGGAAAAUUACAUUUAAGAGAAUGGGGGGGGGGGCUAGUAAGAGACAAUCAAAAGUAUUGAGAUUUAAAGGAUUUAAUUGAGAGAUGAUACUGCACCAGAAAUGUUGAAGGGUGGGGUGUAUAUUAGCGUUCAAGGUAUAUUGUUAUGAGGUGGAAAUAUGUUCAUAUUCUGUUUGUGUUACAUUGUGUGCAUUGUAAAGGUAAUUGCAAUACAUAAUAAGAAUAAGGGUAAGUUAGGAAUGCAGGAUGAAUGUAUAUUUUGCGGACUUUUAAAGACGAACAAUUGUUUCCAUGUUAAAAUGUUUACAACCCAAGUUUUUUGCCCAAACACUGGUAAAAUAAAUGUUGAGGGUGGCAAGUGUUAAAUGGUUACUGCUGUGCUGUUGCAAAAAAACUGAACGCUGACAAGCUGUUUUAUUGUUAGACCAUAAUGCUGGCAUGUUUUAUUAAAGUUUUAUUUGGGAUGGUGAUAUAAUUUUCUGUGACUGCUAAUAUCAGUGGACUAUUUAUUAUUAUUAUUAUUACAACAUUAAUUUUUUUAAUUGUGGCUGUUGAGGUGGACACUUCACUUUGCAUUGUUAAAGGAAACCACUUCAUUGGCGUUGUGUUACUGGACUGACCCUAAGCAAUCAUUGCAAAUAGCAACUUUGCUAUCCAUUUUAGACACUAAA